GAAUUGUCCAUGUAAACCCAGCAAGGGUGUGUGGGGAUGAAUUUGGGGAAGGGUUGGGAGCUGGGAGCAAAGUUGGAUUGGCUGACACUAGGGGUCCCCUAAGGGGAGUGGUGAGACAUAGGACUGGAGGAGGGGGGUCUGAGCUUCUUCCUGGAGAUGGGGGAUGCCAGGCUGGUAAGUGCAGCUUCUGCCCUGUGAAUGGUGGGACCCCUGGAAAGCAAGCGAGGAGGCGAGCCACGUGCUCCCUUGUCAGCUGUGUUCAGGUGUUUGAGGUCAAGAGAGGAGCCAGGGACCAACCCCUGCAUCACAAGGUGAUGACCUAAGGAAGGAAAUGUUGGCCUCUUUUUCCCCAAGUGCCAAGUAGCCUGAAGCAGGAUUGGAGCCGUCUUCCUGGGCCUCUGGAUUUGCCCUGCGUGGUCUCAGUUGUCUUGUGGGAGAGGAGCGUCUGCAGGGGCGGGGUGGUGGCAAGGAGAGGGGAGGGGCUGGAAGCCUAGCGGAGGGGCUGGCACUGCGCCCUGGCCGCUGUCACAGGGUGACUCAGAGCCCCUCCUGGCACCAGCCUCUCCCGCAGUGCAAGCUGUUCCUUUGGCUCUUGCGGCCAGGCUCUCUUCUCCCCCAGGUCGGAGGCUGGGCAGAAGGACGCUGUGUCAAAGCUUGGAAACUGAACUCUAAUGAUUUGCAGCUGCCACACGGGACGUCCCUGGGUUCAGUGAGAGGUAUAGCCCUGCUGCCUCCCUCUGGUGGGAGGUGGGGUGGGACAUCCUCCAAUGUGCUUUGGCACAGCUGCCCCCUGGCCACGCCGUGGUCUCCAUCACACUCAGCCCCAGCUCUCUCCACUCCCAGGAAUUCGCGUCUUCUGCCUUUGACCUCACCGUCAACAUUCCGAUGGAAUGGGAAGCUCAUCGUCCCCUUCCCCUCCACCCGAAUGCAUUUCACGUUCUAUUUCUGGUUCUCACCUUCAUCCUCUGGGUCUCUGGGGGUCAGCAGCUUCAUCAGACCAAUUCCGAGAGAUGGUCACACCUGUCAGGCUGCAGAGAAGUGACUUCGUGAGGAGGGCGGCCAAGUGUCAGCGGGGACUGUAGUGACCACAUCUGGACACGGACCUCUGCAGCGGGGAGGGGGAGCGGGAGGCGGGGGACUCAUGAUCAAACGUCCUGAGUUUCACCAGCUGAGUUGAUUUUUGCCUCUUUUAUGGGAGUGGGCAGCCCAUCACUUGACACAAUUCUUUUACUUGUUCCAGAAAAGCAGCAGAUCAUCCCGCUCUUGGGUCAGGGAACCAGCAUCAGCAGCCACCUUUUCAUAACUCAAUAAUCAGUGAUGUUCUUUGGGGGAGUGGGAUUCCAGGUAGAUUCAUGUUUUUACAUUGUGUAAUUCCCCUCCCGCCCCACUCCGCCCCCCCAAAAAAGAAAAAGUUUUGGCAUCUGUGUGUAUGACUCCAGGGCAGCAAGUAAAAGGCAACUUGAUUCAUUCAAUUCAUGAAUAUUCAUUGGAAAUUUACCAUAAGCCUGGCACUGUUGGGGUGCUGGGAAUUCAGAGAUGACAAAGACAAGGUCAUGGUGCUUGAGGAGCACACAGUCUGGUGGGGGAGACAGGCUGGUAAAUAAAAAACCAGGCAGCGAAGUGACGGAUGUUAUC
ensembl:lncRNA